GUCUCAGGCCAUAACACCCUGAAUGCACCCAAUCUCCUCUGAUCUCAGAUGAUAAGCAAGGUCAGGCCUGGUUAGUACUUGGAGAGGAGAAAUGAUACUACUUGAUGCA
rnacentral:rRNA from 1 species